AGUGAACGCUGGCGGUAGGCCUAACACAUGCAAGUCGAACGGCAGCACAGUAAGAGCUUGCUCUUACGGGUGGCGAGUGGCGGACGGGUGAGGAAUACAUCGGAAUCUACUUUUUCGUGGGGGAUAACGUAGGGAAACUUACGCUAAUACCGCAUACGACCUACGGGUGAAAGCAGGGGAUCUUCGGACCUUGCGCGAUUGAAUGAGCCGAUGUCGGAUUAGCUAGUUGGCGGGGUAAAGGCCCACCAAGGCGACGAUCCGUAGCUGGUCUGAGAGGAUGAUCAGCCACACUGGAACUGAGACACGGUCCAGACUCCUACGGGAGGCAGCAGUGGGGAAUAUUGGAGAAUGGGCGCAAGCCUGAUCCAGCCAUACCGCGUGGGUGAAGAAGGCCUUCGGGUUGUAAAGCCCUUUUGUUGGGAAAGAAAAGCAGCAGGUUAAUACCCCGCUGUUCUGACGGUACCCAAAGAAUAAGCACCGGCUAACUUCGUG
rnacentral:rRNA from 1 species